rnacentral:rRNA from 1 species
AAUGAACGCUGGCGGCGCGCCUAAUACAUGCAAGUCGAGCGAGAAGACGUAGCAAUACGUUUGUAAAGCGGCGAACGGGUGAGGAAUACAUGGGUAACCUACCCUAGAGUGGGGAAUAACUAGCCGAAAGGUUAGCUAAUACCGCGUACGCUCCUUGGACUUCGGUUCAGGGAGGAAAGCGAUACCGAGGGUAUCGCGCUCUUGGAUGGGCUCAUGUCCUAUCAGCUUGUUGGUGAGGUAACGGCUCACCAAGGCUUCGACGGGUAGCUGGUCUGAGAGGACGAUCAGCCACACUGGCACUGCGACACGGGCCAGACUCCUACGGGAGGCAGCAGUAAGGAAUAUUGCGCAAUGGGCGAAAGCCUGACGCAGCGACGCCGCGUGGGGGAUGAAGGUCUUCGGAUUGUAAACCCCUUUCGGGAGGGAAGAUGGAACGAGCAAUCGUUCGGACGGUACCUCCAGAAGCAGCCACGGCUAACUUCGUGCCAGCAGCCGCGGUAAG